rnacentral:rRNA from 1 species
UACGUAGGUGACAAGCGUUGUCCGGAUUUACUGGGCGUAAAGAGCGCGCAGGCGGUCGUUCAAGUCGAGUGUGAAAGCCCCCGGCUCAACUGGGGAGGGUCAUUCGAUACUGAUCGACUCGAAGGCAGGAGAGGGAAGUGGAAUUCCCGGUGUAGUGGUGAAAUGCGUAGAUAUCGGGAGGAACACCAGUGGCGAAGGCGACUUCCUGGCCUGUUCUUGACGCUGAGGCGCGAAAGCUAGGGGAGCAAACAGGG